CCUGGCUCAGAUUGAACGCUGGCGGCAUGCCUAACACAUGCAAGUCGAACGGCAGCACAGCAGUAGCAAUACUGUGGGUGGCGAGUGGCGGACGGGUGAGUAAUGCAUCGGGACCUACCUGAACGUGGGGGAUAACGUAGGGAAACUUACGCUAAUACCGCAUACGUCCUACGGGAGAAAGCGGGGGACCUUCGGGCCUCGCGCGGUCAGACGGACCGAUGUUCGAUUAGCUAGUUGGUAAGGUAACGGCUUACCAAGGCGACGAUCGAUAGCUGGUCUGAGAGGAUGAUCAGCCACACUGGAACUGAGACACGGUCCAGACUCCUACGGGAGGCAGCAGUGGGGAAUAUUGGACAAUGGGCGCAAGCCUGAUCCAGCAAUGCCGCGUGUGUGAAGAAGGCCUUCGGGUUGUAAAGCACUUUUAUCAGGAGCGAAAUACUACCGGUUAAUAACCGGUGGGGCUGACGGUACCUGAGGAAUAAGCAC
rnacentral:rRNA from 1 species